rnacentral:misc_RNA from 1 species
GAACGCAUCUUGCGCUCCUUGGUAUUCCGAGGAGCAUGCCUGUUUGAGUGUCAUCAAAUUCUCAACUACAAUGAUUUCUUCAGUGUAGCUUGGAUUUGGGGGACUUUGGCUUCUAGAAGUCAGCUCCCCUGAAAUUGAUUAGCGGUACCUUUGUAGACCAUCUACAGGUGUGAUAAUUGUCUACACCUUAGUUGUCUGAAUGCUGCUUCCAACUUGAGUUUUGGAACUCGUGACAAUCUUGACCUCAAAUCAGGUAGGACUACCCGCUGAACUUAAG